AUCGGGGCACCGAGAUUAACAUGGAAAGUGGCGGACGGGUGGAACACGGGGUACCUGCCCUAAGUGGGGGAUAACAUUUGGAAACAGAUCUAAUACCGCAAGAUCCAAGAACCGCAUGGUUCUUGGCUGAAAGAUGCGUAAGCUAUCCUUUUGGAUGGACCCGCGGCGUAUUAGCUAGUUGGGAGGUAAUGGCUCACCAAGGCGAUGAUACGUAGCCGAACUGAGAGGUUGAUCGGCCACUUGGGACUGAGACACGGCCCAAACUCCUACGGGAGGCAGCAGUAGGAAUCUUCCACAAUGGACGCAAGUCUGAUGGAGCAACGCCGCGUGAGUGAAGAAGGCUUUCGGGUCGUAAAACUCUGUUGUUGGAGAAGAAUGGUCGGCAGAGUAACUGUUGUCGGCGUGACGGUAUCCAACCAGAAAGCCACGGCUAACUACGUGCCAGCAGCCGCGGUAAUACGUAGGUGGCAAGCGUUAUCCGGAUUUAUUGGGCGUAAAGCGAGCGCAGGCGGUUUUUUAAGUCUGAUGUGAAAGCCCUCGGCUUAACCGAGGAAGCGCAUCGGAAACUGGGAAACUUGAGUGCAGAAGAGGACAGUGGAACUCCAUGUGUAGCGGUGAAAUGCGUAGAUAUAUGGAAGAACACCAGUGGCGAAGGCGGCUGUCUGGUCUGUAACUGACGCUGAGGCUCGAAAGCAUGGGUAGCGAACAGGAUUAGAUACCCUGGUAGUCCAUGCCGUAAACGAUGAAUGCUAGGUGUUGGAGGGUUUCCGCCCUUCAGUGCCGCAGCUAACGCAUUAAGCAUUCCGCCUGGGGAGUACGACCGCAAGGUUGAAACUCAAAGGAAUUGACGGGGGCCCGCACAAGCGGUGGAGCAUGUGGUUUAAUUCGAAGCAACGCGAAGAACCUUACCAGGUCUUGACAUCUUUUGAUCACCUGAGAGAUCAGGUUUCCCCUUCGGGGGCAAAUGACAGGUGGUGCAUGGUUGUCGUCAGCUCGUGUCGUGAGAUGUUGGGUUAAGUCCCGCAACGAGCGCAACCCUUAUGACUAGUUGCCAGCAUUUAGUUGGGCACUCUAGUAAGACUGCCGGUGACAAACCGGAGGAAGGUGGGGAGACGUCAAUCAUCAUGCCCCUAUGACCGGGGUACCCCCUGCUAC
rnacentral:rRNA from 1 species